CGUGUCCCUCUGUUCCUAUUCUCUGAGAUCCAUCCUGAAAUGCUUCACAGCUUUAAACAGCCUCACCAGUGUGCCGCGUUUCGUGACGUCAGUCAACGCCAUUCAAAACCAGGCAGCUAAGCGGAGCUGAGCGCGUGAAUGAUCUCGGGACGGGGAACGUGUAAAGCCUACCGCUCGCACGCGGUUAUCGCUCCUAGUAUACACAUGUACUGUAGCCUGCUAAUUAUCCUCCAGCUUCGCAUUUUUUCCGCUCUGAAAAAUGGUGCCGGACGGUGUGAAUGCUUCUGGAGAACACGGUGACCUGUUGCCACGAGAAAAGGGCAACCAGUGAAGAACAAACACCAUUGUAAAUACAACCCAUAUUUAUGCUUAUUUAUUUUAUCUUGUGUCCUUAAAACCAUUUGUACAUUGUUAAAACACUGUAUAUAUAUAUAUAAUAUGACAUUUGUAAUGUCUUUAUUGUUUUGAAACUUCUGUAUGUGUAAUGUUUACUGUUCAUUUUUAUUGUUUAUUUCACUUUAUAUAUUAUCUACCUCACUUGCUUUGGCAAUGUUAACACAUGUUUCCCCUGUCAAUAAAGCCCCUUGAA